AGAUUUGCUCCUUUGUGGUGUCAGGAAGAAAGUGUGGAGGAUGGGUCGUCUACACCAUGGAUGAUCCUUUUCCUCAGAUUCAGGACAGUCUCUGCUGGGAAGCCAGUCCAGCUGGGACCCCGCAGCUGAACAGUAUUUAUAAAAGGAAUAAAUUUUAAGCACAAGGAAGAAAGCAAACAAGAAUUAUGAAAUCUUGUACAUGGAACAUCACAGUCCUAAGAAAGAAAAUAUUCCUGCCUAUGACGAACAAAAAUGAAAAAGAGCUGCCACGAUUAUUUCUUUGAACUAAUAAUACUACAUGCAUAUUCAUGGUUAUCUUGGGAUCAGAGUAAACAUGGCAUGGAAGAUCCAUUCUUUUUUCACCUCUAGCCCCAAUAUCUCACCAAUUGGAUGCAAGUGAAUAAUUGCAAAUACAUUUUAAAAUUGUUUGACAUUCUGUUUCCAAUCCAAGAAAAGAAAUAGCCUUGUUUCCUGGCCCAUUUUAUGCUUAUCUGUCUAUAGUGAUAAGAAGUCAAAAAUAAGAAGCAUAUAAAUUAAAUUUGAAUUUUCUUUGCUUGUAACAUCCUUAAAUGAGUGAAAUUUUAUGAAUUAAAUUGUAGAUUAUAUGUUUUACUUAGAGCAUGGAACAACCUCCAGAAUAGAUUAUAUAUACAUUGGGCUAUAAAACAAGACUUAAUACUUUC